UACGUAGGGCGCAAGCGUUGUCCGGAAUUAUUGGGCGUAAAGAGCUCGUAGGCGGCCGGUUGCGUCUGCUGUGAAAUCCCGGGGCUUAACCCCGGGCGUGCAGUGGAUACGGGCCGGCUGGAGGCAGGCAGGGGAGAAUGGAAUUCCCGGUGUAGCGGUGAAAUGCGCAGAUAUCGGGAGGAACACCGGUGGCGAAGGCGGCUCUCUGGGCCUGUACUGACGCUGAGGAGCGAAAGCGUGGGGAGCGAACAGG
rnacentral:rRNA from 1 species